AAGGCAAGUGAGAACCUUGCCCGCCGAAAGACCAAGGGUUCCUGGGCCAGGCCAGUCCGCCCAGGGUGAGUCGGGACCUAAGGCGAGGCCGACAGGCGUAGUCGAUGGACAACGGGUUGAUAUUCCCGUACCCGUGUGUGAGCGUCCCUGAUGAAUCCGUUCUGCUAACCGCCCAAAUGGUGGUCCACCAAUCCCUUCGGGGUGCGGGGUUCACCG
rnacentral:rRNA from 1 species